rnacentral:lncRNA from 1 species
AUAUUUUUGGUCAAGAGUGGCUUUAGAUGGCCUUUUCCCACAUGGAUAGGUGAAUGUCAUCAGGCUUCUGCUGGUUCAUGUCUCGGCUUUAGAACCUGCUGCUCCUUAGGAAGUUAAAGCUCUGGUUAGCACAUGAAAUCUUUUUUUUUCCCUAAUUUGUAUGUUUAUGUAGAUAAACAUACUUGCAUAGUUGACAAUGAUGACAAGGUAUGGAAAAUCAUUUUUGAGAUAACUAGUUUCUUUCUUGAGAUAACAAGGUAUGGAAAAUCAUAUUGAAGUAAGAAGUAGAAAUUAGUUAGGAAUUGAAUGAGAACUGAACUAAAUACAACUCUUGGUUCGACAUCAGUUGUCUUCACCUAUUACCACCGCAUUCAGCAUAUACAAACCAUUGAAGGCAUCCAGUUCUUGGCGCUUAAAAGGUCAAUUAAUCCGAUGCUGACGCUUAGGAAAAUUUCGAAUAGCUUUCACUUUAAGCAAUACUAUAAGUUCCUUCAUUUUUCUGCCGUCCGCUUUUACUGUAUUGAUCUUCUUUUAAUUAUUUACAGAUUGUCUAGCUAAGUUAAGAUAUGGAGGUUUAUUUGUAAAGUUUUGAGUGCUUUACUGGCAUAAGCUUUAUGCUAUUAAACGUUUUGAUUAAAGAUAUACUUAUUUAUUGCUAUUUAAUUUAAUAAAAGACUGAAAUUUGCGACAAAAAUGUUUUAAGGGUUUAAGUUAUAGAAUUUUGAGAUAAAAUUAUCUUUUACUUAUCACCAAUGUAUUGGAAGACUUUAUAUGCUGUCUAGCUUCUUUCAUGUUAAAUUGUUGCAAAAACUUAUAAGCUUUCUAAUUACCCAGCUUUGGCUUUUCAUCCUAUUCAAACAUGUUUCCAACAAUAUUAAUCUCAGAGAGCUUACGAACUCUUUUAUAAACUUUUCUUAGCCAAAAAAUAAUUUAUGUCAAACACUGUACUAGCCAUUUAAGUAUCUUUCUGCACUUCUAGGAUGUUGAAGAGGCUAGUGUUAGGCAAAAGAGCUUUUCUUGGACAUGAUUUGGUGAAAAACCUUAAGUGAUUAGAGCUGUAACUCUCCAACCGUAAUGUAAAUGCUUUCUUUAGCUGGGCCAUUUUAUGCAUCUUUUAGAAUGUAGCAUGCGCAUUAGUCCUGCAUAAUUGCUUGUGAAGAAAAAGAUAUUUAGGAUCUAAUUGAUCUAUUCAUAAGCUAAUGACUUAAUCUCUCUUAAUUUGUGAUUGAUAAUCGCAUGUAUGCAUGACAGUGCACUGUAUUAAUCUGAAUGUCUUAAUGUUCCCCUUUCUAUUGUAGCACGGUGGUGAUCAGUGGUAUGACUUUGAUGAUAGCCAUGUCUAUCCGAUCGGCCAGGAAAAGAUAAAAACUUCAGCUGCUUAUGUUCUUUUCUACAGAAGAGUUGCGGAGGUAUAACAUUAGAUUAGCAUUGUCAAUUUCUGAAGAACUACGUCGAGAUUGACUUAUUAACAGUUUUGCAAUCUUAGACCUAAAAUUCUUUCGAGUCCAUUAUUAACUAUUAACUGUAUCAUGGUGGGAGCUAAAGCAGUAAGACCAUAAAGAGGAGAAUAUUUUUAGUGAAUUUAAGAAGAAAACACAUGUAACUAACUGCUAGAGGAAGAAUGUUUAGCUUUUUAUUAGAACAUAGGAAUUUUUUCUAAGAAGGGGUUUGCUUUCAGUGUCCACUCAAAUGUAUGUUGUACAACUGAGUGUAGAUUGAAUCAUUUGAUCAGCAAUUUUGCUUCUAUCUGGAUGUGCUGUCUCAAAUUCAGAAUUUUGUUUUAAUGCUUCUAUAUUUUCUGAGUAGCUUGAGCUCGUAAACAUUCUAUAUAUUCCUGGGACAAAUUGAGCAAAGAUUUUAAUCCAUUGUAAAGCUUUUAUAAUUCAGUCUUAUGGCUGUUUGUGGAUGGAAUUCUUCUGCACGCAUGGAAUGUGUAUGUCAAUGUCAUCCCCCAGGGCUUAAACUGUGUAAAACAACAGCAAGGUCUGGUAAAUACUAUGUUUUCCUUAGCUUUGAGUAAUUUUUGGAUAUUUAUUUCGCCGAGCAUGAUAAAACAAGGUUCUUCAAUAUAUGGAUCUUCAUUUAUGUGAAAGAAUUUGCGGCUUGUACUGUUUUCUUAUUGUGAGGUUGCUGGAUCUUCCUACAUAUCUGAUUUGUGUUAAUGUACUGACACAGUCCGAGUUAUAUAAGAAAGAGGGUGCAGUGCAGCAUAAGGUGAUUUCGCUAAGUAAGUUAUCAAAACUAUACCUUCAUCGCUGUUGAACUUGCUCAAAAUGGUUGUUGAAGUCUGUCUCGGACCCUUGAAGAAAUCCGAUUGUGAUGAAUUCAGUUUCCUGUCGAAGUUACUCUGGAAUUAUCUCCUAGCAUGCAUGGUCCGAAGUUGGCAGGACGAUUUAUCAGGUAGAAAAUAGAAAAUUUCGUCCAAUUUACAUGGAGAUUUCUUUCAGCAACCACAUAAAAGUGAAUGCAGAAUUAGGUCUCAGGAGCUUUUACAAUGCUCUGUUGCACAGAUUAUCGAGAAAUUUGUCUCCUCCUCCGAACUUGGAAAAGAAAGAGAAAAAUUAGCCGACGAUUCUAGGUUUCGACAACCAUCAUGUUACUGAAAAAUACAGAAGGGAAACACAGAAUUAGGUGAGAGAGGAGCAGAGAGAGGAGACAGCAAAGAGAGGGUUUUUUUUUUUUUUUCUCUCUAAUUUCAUUCACUAACAGUUCUUAUCCUUUUAUAGCCCUAGCUUAUAAUGAACCUACACAAUCUUUCACAUCAUCUUUACAUAUAGCAACACUCCUGUAAAAAUUAC